AAUCAACGCUGGCGGCGUGCCUAACACAUGCAAGUCGAACGCGAAAGGGACUUCGGUCCUGAGUAGAGUGGCGAACGGGUGAGUAACGCGUGGGUGAUCUACCCUCGAGUGGGGGAUAACGUUCCGAAAGGGACGCUAAUACCGCAUGAUGUUCCGGGUUUGAAGACCUGGAAACCAAAGCCGGGGACCGUAAGGCCUGGCGCUCAAGGAGGAGCCCGCGUCUGAUUAGCUAGUUGGCGGGGUAAUGGCCCACCAAGGCGACGAUCAGUAGCCGGCCUGAGAGGGCGGACGGCCACACUGGGACUGAGACACGGCCCAGACUCCUACGGGAGGCAGCAGUGGGGAAUUGUUCGCAAUGGGCGCAAGCCUGACGACGCAACGCCGCGUGGAGGAUGAAGGUCUUCGGAUUGUAAACUCCUGUUGAUCGGGACGAAAAGCUUCGACCUAACACGUCGAGGACUGACGGUACCGGUUGAGGAAGCCACGGCUAACUCUGUGCCAGCAGCCGCGGUAAUGUG
rnacentral:rRNA from 1 species